rnacentral:rRNA from 1 species
AUUAGAUACCCUAUUAUUUUAAAUGUUAAUGUAUUUACUAAAUUAGUAUUAGUUAAGUUCUUGAAAAUUAAAAAAUUUGGCGGUAUUUUAGUCUUUUCAGAGGAACCUGUCCUGUAAUUGAUAAUUCACGAUAUAGUGUACUUUAUUUAUUAGUUUAUAUAUCGUCGUAGUUUAAAUAUUUUUGGAGAAUUAAAAUAUUUAGGAUUUAAUAUUAAAAAAUAUAUCAGAUCAAGGUGUAAUUUAUAAUAAAGUAGAGAUGGGUUACAUUAAAUUUAUUUAGUGAUUAUUAUUAGGAUAAUAAUAUGAAUAUGGAUUUGAAGGUAAUUUUAUUAAGUUUUUUAAAAUGAUUAAAGCUCUAAAAUAUGCAC